CCUACGGGAGGCAGCAGUGAGGAAUAUUGGUCAAUGGACGCAAGUCUGAACCAGCCAGGCCGCGUGCAGGAAGACGGCGCUAUGAGUUGUAAACUGCUUGUGUACGAGGGGAAACGCAGAUACGCGUAUCUGUCUGAAAGUAUCGUACGAAUAAGGAUCGGCUAACUCCGUGCCAGCAGCCGCGGUAAUACGGAGGAUUCAAGCGUUCUCCGGAGUUAGUGGGUUUAAAGGGUGCGUAGGCGGUCGGAUAAGUUAGAGGUGAAAUCCCGAGGCGAAACUUCGGAAGGGCCUCUGUUACGGUUCGGCUAGAGUGUCGUUGCGGUAGGCGGAAUGUUUGGUGUAGCUGU
rnacentral:rRNA from 1 species